ACGCGUUGGGAGCUCUCCCAUAUGGUCGACCUGCAGGCGGCCGCGAAUUCACUAGUGAUUCGUAUUACCGCGGCUGCUGGCACAGAGUUAGCCGGUGCUUAUUCUGUCGGUAACGUCAAAACAGCAAAGUAUUAAUUUACUGCCCUUCCUCCCAACUUAAAGUGCUUUACAAUCCGAAGACCUUCUUCACACACGCGGCAUGGCUGGAUCAGGCUUUCGCCCAUUGUCCAAUAUUCCCCACUGCUGCCUCCCGUAGGAGUCUGGACCGUGUCUCAGUUCCAGUGUGACUGAUCAUCCUCUCAGACCAGUUACGGAUCGUCGCCUUGGUGAGCCAUUACCCCACCAACUAGCUAAUCCGACCUAGGCUCAUCUGAUAGCGCAAGGCCCGAAGGUCCCCUGCUUUCUCCCGUAGGACGUAUGCGGUAUUAGCGUCCGUUUCCGAACGUUAUCCCCCACUACCAGGCAGAUUCCUAGGCAUUACUCACCCGUCCGCCGCUCUCAAGAGAAGCAAGCUUCUCUCUACCGCUCGACUUGCAUGUGUUAGGCCUGCCGCCAGCGUUCAAUCUGAGCCAUGAUCAAACUCUAAUCGAAUUCCCGCGGCCGCCAUGGCGGCCGGGAGCAUG
rnacentral:rRNA from 1 species